AUUGAACGCUGGCGGCAGGCCUAACACAUGCAAGUCGAACGAGUGGCGGACGGGUGAGUAAUGUCUGGGAAACUGCCUGAUGGAGGGGGAUAACUACUGGAAACGGUAGCUAAUACCGCAUACCAUCGGCUAUGCCGAUAUGGGAUGAGCUAGUAGGUGGGGUAAAGGCUCACCUAGGCGACGAUCCCUAGCUGGUCUGAGAGGAUGACCAGCCACACUGGAACUGAGACACUGUCCAGACUCCUACGUGAGGCAGCAGUGGGUAAUAUUGCAAAAUGGGCGCAAGCCUGAUGCAGCCAUGCCGCGUGUAUGAAGAAGGCCUUCGGGUUGUAAAGUACUUUCAGCGGGGAGGCGUUACCCGCAGAAGAAGCACCGGCUAACUCCGUGCCAGCAGCCGCGGUAAUAC
rnacentral:rRNA from 1 species